CCAGAUGCAAUCAGGCGGAGCUCCGAGUUUAUAGAGAUCGCAGGAAAGAAACCCGGGAACCGACCAUUGCUUUCUUGGAGCCCUAAGUCCGGUUCGGGCCUUACGAGUGCCUCAUCUCCGAGCUUCCCGGCUCUCUUCCUCUUCCCAAACCCUAAGCCUAGUCAGGGCGGACCCUGGUUUUGGAUGAGGAUUUCCGGUGGGAAGUGGCUGAAUUCGUUCCGGGAUAUCAAAAGGGGAGACGUGGUGCUCUAUUCUUUGUUGCGCGGGAGCUGGAAUUCAAGUCUCUAUGCCUAAGUUUUCGGUUUUUUUCUUAAGAGUUCGUUUUGUUUUCUUGAGGUGGAUGCCGGUCGGAUUUGUUUGAAGGAUCCAGGUGCAAUGCAAAUACUGGGACAGAGAACACAGGCAAAUGCUAGGGCGUUCAAGGAAUGGGCUAAUCAACCAAGUAAGGCUUUCUUAUUGAAGCUGUCAUUCUUUUUCUCCAUCUAAAAGGAGAGAAGGGGUACUGGAAUUAGAAGAAAGGAACAUGAUAUCUAAGUACCCAAUUUCCCGUCAAGUGGGGAGAAAACAUAAUCUCGAGGUGACCCACAUGAGCUCAAUAGUAGUUAUUUUCCCCUUCCAGGCAUUCCACACUGUUCUAGUAUGAAGGGCCAUCAAAGUUGACAUCAAGUUGGUCUAUGGUAUCUUACUAGAAUGCUCAGUGACAAAGGAGGCUAUCCAAUUUGCAGCCAAAUUCACCUCAUGCUAGAUGUGCCUUGCGAAGAAUGAAGUGCUCUCUCUUGCCAGUCUCCAAAUGUCAUGCAAAAAGAGGGUGGGUACCGAUCCUCUCCGCUUGUUUCUGGAUCCAUCCAAUCACCGUGAUAGAGGUGCCCUCAAUAUAAAUAAAAUCGGCUCUUAGGACUUGCCACGUAUAGCUAACGCCUGCUCAAGCCGCCCUCAAUUUUGCUUCAGGAAGAGGUAUCAAAGAUUGGACUCUCAUCAGUCGCUAUGAGCUUAUAAUUCCAGUCUCUGAUCACAAAUUCUACUCCGCUUCUACUGCCACCAUUAACUACACUGUCGUCAAAGUUGACUUUGAGGAAAAUUUAGGGUGGGAUCUCCCAAGUGAUGAACACCAUCUGGGUUGCUACAAGAGUUGAGAAGGAGUUCCGAGUAUUCCAAGUUGUCAUAGGCUCUCCAACAAUAUGUGAGUGGGUGAUCUCAGCGGCCUAUACUAAAGCUUUCUCCAAAAUGAAUAUUGGCGGUUGAAUGUUAUCUUCAAAAGUUCGAGCAUUUCUGGCUAGCCAAAUUUGAUAAACAACAUAAGUACUUAUAAUGUCGGAAUAUUUGGUAGACGAUGCACUGAUGCUACCCCUUAGAUAUGCAAGGACUGCCUUAAUAGGAGUCAUCGACUAAAGCAACUCCAGAGCCUUUAUAUCCACAUCGCUCUCCCACAUUGGAAGAGGACAUGAGCGACAGACUUCUUCAUCUCACAACAAGGGCAGGCUGGUGGUUUGUUCAUCCCUCAUUUAGUUAGAACAUCCCUAGUUGGAAAACGACUCUACACCAUCUUCUAGAUAAAUUGGGCAGGUGGACACAAGCCUCUAGAUCCAAGUACAAUUUCGCCUAUAUGCAGUCUUUCUCUAAAGAUAUCAUAAUGGUCUCUCACCAUCAGGCUACAAGUGAAUCUCCAAACCCUCACUGUUUCUCCAUGACAGGCUUAUAAGCAUUUGGUGGUUUAACCAUAUACAUUGAGAACUGUUCUGGAUUAGGUUUGGCCAAAAUGGGUGAUCCAGUGAUUCAAUUUGCUCAGCCAGAAUCAAGAAACAGAAUCUGCAGUUCCGAAGUUGAGUCCGAUUUAAGCCCUAAAAAGUAUGCUAAUUAGCAUGAAGCACAAGGCUGCCUUGCUGGUUCUGUGAUUGCAGAUCGCAGCAUUUCUGAAUUCUGAAUAUUGAGUCUCAUAUUCAGUGGAUCUAUCAAUAUGACUUCAAAUUGGCUGCAGGUUUAUGUGACCUUACAAACUCAAGGUGGAUGGAUAUGAUAUCAGAUCACUUUCCCUUGAUUGUUUGUUCGUCAAUCAAAAGAGAAUUCUGGAAUAAGAUAAUUAUUCAGUUUGGAGCAGGCUCAGCAACGUUGCUUUUUUCUACAUUGUUGUUUCUAUGCGAAUCAGUAAAAUAUCACAUGAAAAUUGAUAUUGAAGAUAGCAUUUGGACAGAAUUUCUAUUAUCCUUUGCUUCUAUUUUCUGAAUUUUUGAAAGCAUUAAAUCUUUGCUUCGA